UGGGGAAUUUUCCGCAAUGGGCGAAAGCCUGACGGAGCAAUGCCGCGUGGAGGUGGAAGGCCUACGGGUCGUCAACUUCUUUUCUCGGAGAAGAAACAAUGACGGUAUCUGAGGAAUAAGCAUCGGCUAACUCCGUGCCAG
rnacentral:rRNA from 1 species